rnacentral:tRNA from 1 species
GCGUCUGUAGCCUAGUUGGUAAAAGCAGCACUCUAGUAUGUUUCUUGUGUGAGUUUGACUCUCACCAGACACA